rnacentral:misc_RNA from 1 species
GCAAACUUGGUCAUUUAGAGGAAGUAAAAGUCGUAACAAGGUUUCCGUAGGUGAACCUGCGGAAGGAUCAUUAACGUGCACGCUGCCCGCCCCGGCGGGCCGUCACACCCCCUGCGUCCCCUCCGGUUGCUUCGGCGAGGCCCUGGCUUUGCGCCGUCCUCGCCGACAGACCCCCCAACGCUGGCUUUUGAGAUGUCCGAGCCUGAAUUCAAUCAGAAAACUUUCAACGAUGGAUCUCUUGGUUCCAGCAUCGAUGAAGAACGCAGC